AUCCUGACCCCUCCUUCUCUAGCAGGAAAUCUGUUACGCAAUACUUAGAUAAACCAAUGAUCCAGAAGUAAUACAGACCUAAGCAGCAUAAAAAUAGAGAACCAUUGCACAAAGCAGAUUUCAGUACAAUUGUAACAAGGAGACAAAUAGUGGCUCCUCUCAACAUUCAGAAUUUUGAAUUUCAUACUACUGACACAUUCUACUCCAAAAUCACCAGCAACGUGCAGCGAACAGCGGCACCGCCUGCAGAAAAGAUCAGUUCCUCCAGAAGCUUAAAGAGCCCUAAAAAAUGACAAGAUCAGCAUUUAGUCAGCUUUCCCCGUCUUACCACUAGACAGUACCUAGCAACCAACAGUCGACAAAGCUGUGGCAGCGCCAGGACUUUGAUCUUGCCAAUCAAGAUUA